CUCACCAUAAACCCAAGGGGACUUGUCAGCUCCACGGCAGAAAUUGGAGAGACCACUCAAGCAAGAAGAGGAUUAGGCUGUCUCCUAUCAAAGCAUGCACAGACUGGAUUUUUCCAGCAACUUCAACAGAAAGAGGGUCCAUCAGUUUUCACAAUUAUAAAACUGGCCCCGAAGGCAGUGUGAAGGAUUUAAAUAUGUAAAGACCAACGCAUCACACUGCCGGAUUUGGAGGUGAGUUGGCCUGGCUGGAGAAAGGGAAGGAUGUGGGUGGUGACAAAAUGGCUGCUGUGAAGGACCUCUGGAGGACCGCUCAUAGGAAAAUGAGUAGCUGGAAUGGCCAGGCCUCCCAUAGAAACUCAAGGCUGGUUGUUUU
ensembl:lncRNA